GUGAGUUGUACUGGUCUGCAUGAGACUUAGAAGCUCCUGUGAUUACUGACUGAAUCAUCAUCACAGAUUCAUCACAUCAUCACUUAGCCCAAUUCAUCACAAAGACUGAGCAACUACUACCCAAAUGGAAUCAGAAAGCCAAAAGCACCCAGUGGACAGACGAUGGCUCUUACGCCUCCAAUGCCAAGGCAAAUGGUCAGCAGUGCUACAUAAAACAGCCUGUGCUGCUCUGUUUUUGCUGGAUGGAGCCUUCUUUGCCACAAACAGAGUUGAGAAAGCUGGGGACAGAGGAGUGUGAGUGGAAGGAGAGGGGACCUAAAGUGACAAAAGAAGAUUCCAAAGUUGGGAUUUCCAUCCUGUCUGAUGACUGACCUCAGAAUUUAGACUGAUAGAAAUUACCAUGUUAAACAAGAAGUCAACAAAUGCUACUGGUGUGGCCUGUUACCAAGAGCUCUGGCCAGUGUUGAUGUGGAGUAAUGGGGAACGUUUCUUCAUCCCAUUAUCAGUAAACUCCAAAGGGAAGUCUUACCAAACUGCCUCCUGGUUGCUGUCAUUUCUAAAUUUUAAGCUGGUAAAUUCUGAUAAAGAAGCCAGAGAAGACUGGAAAAACUGGACCAAGAAACUAGUUCCGUUGGGAACCCUGAGUAAGGCAAUUUGAAGGAACUGGAAACUCAACAAAUGAGAAAGAAGAAGUCAGGAUCACAGACUAUUGAUAUAAUCAAAUAAUAAUAAUAAUAACAAAUACAAGAGAAUACUUUCUAUGUACCAGUGUGUCCGGAAUUGUUCCUUCCAGUGGGUUCUUGGUCUCGCUGACUUCAAGAAUGAAGUCACGGACCCUCGUGGUGAGUGUUACAGUUCUUAAAGAUGGUGUGUCUGGAGCUUGUUCCUUCAGAUGUUCCUGAGUUUCUUCCUUCCAGUGGGUUCGCUUGACUUCAGGAGUGAAGCCGCAGACCUUCGCAGUGAGCGUUAUAGCUCUUAAAGGUGGUGCGUCUGGAGUUGUUUUUUCUUCCCGGUGGGUUCGUGGUCUUGCUGACUUCAGAAGUGAAGC
rnacentral:lncRNA from 10 species